rnacentral:rRNA from 1 species
AGAGUGAACGCUGGCGGUAGGCCUAACACAUGCAAGUCGAACGGCAGCACGGUAAGAGCUUGCUCUUAUGGGUGGCGAGUGGCGGACGGGUGAGGAAUACAUCGGAAUCUACCUUUUGGUGGGGGAUAACGUAGGGAAACUUACGCUAAUACCGCAUACGCCCUUCGGGGGAAGGCCGGGGACCAGCAAUGGCCUGGCGCUGAUAGAUGAGCCGAUGUCGGAUUAGCUAGUUGGUGAGGUAAUGGCUCACCAAGGCGACGAUCCGUAGCCUGGUCUGAGAGGAUGAUCAGCCACACUGGAACUGAGACACGGUCCAGACCU